rnacentral:rRNA from 1 species
UACGUAGGGUCCGAGCGUUGUCCGGAAUUAUUGGGCGUAAAGAGCUCGUAGGCGGUUUGUCGCGUCUGCUGUGAAAUCCCGAGGCUCAACCUCGGGCCUGCAGUGGGUACGGGCAGACUGGAGUGCGGUAGGGGAGAAUGGAAUUCCUGGUGUAGCGGUGGAAUGCGCAGAUAUCAGGAGGAACACCGAUGGCGAAGGCAGUUCUCUGGGCCGUAACUGACGCUGAGACGCGAAAGCGUGGGGAGCGAACAGG